rnacentral:sRNA from 1 species
CUGCGUGAGUUGGCAGUAUUGGGGAAAUUAAAGGGUCCACGCCGCAUUAUUGUGCCCAAUAAAAUUAAAGUUUUGUUUAUGAAUGGAAUUACACGACGACAUUUAGAUGGCCAAAAGAGCAGCUUGGCCGGGCCAACGCAGCUGGAAAUCGAGGGGCCGCCGACUCGGCUCAGAUUCACAGACACUUCAUCUAAAUGUCAGGCCAUAUCUAGCGACACUCGCAACACUCGGAUUCGCACUAGCCGGGGAUCGGAUUGGUCUUUGGUACUGGGGCCUGGACAUCUCUCGGUUACUCCGGUCUCCGGUUGUCGGCUCUCUUUGGCGGCUGCUUUGGCCAAAUCAAUUGAGCCGCCUUCCCCCAUAAACGAGCCAAAACAAAUGACUCCGACUUGCCUCGAGAGGCUGCGACUGCGGCGGAGACUGCUCUGCUCUUGGGACCCGGGGCAGCUGAAGAUCAUUAGUAUAAUUUAAGUAAAUUAAACGCAGCGAUUAGGUUCGGGAUACAGCGGUCUGUAUCGAGUGAAAUAAAACCAGGCAGGCGGGACGGACGGCAGGCGCAACAAACGGCACCAAGUAUUCCCCAAUCGCCGUUGUCGGCAAAAUGCUUGUGUUUAUUUAAAUUUAUUGUAACAUUUUCGUUGGCGAUUUCAAUUUGUAAAACAAGCGAGCAAACAAGCUGUUAAAAUAUAAUGAUUGGCACCAA